rnacentral:lncRNA from 1 species
AUUUGACAUAGCUUGGUGAAGAAAAUACCGUUCAUCCAAUUUUGUGGGGGCUGAAAAUGAUAAGAAGUUCUGUAAGGUUGCUCUUUAGGUAUCCUGUACUUGAUAGGAUCAAUACUGUUACUACAUGUUGAUGCCUCAAUUCCAUUUCUACUGUUUAAUAAAAAAGAAAUUAGCAAAAGUAAUAGUUGUACUGCAAAGUUUUUCAUGGUGCAAGCAUGAAGGAGAAGGAGAAGUAGAAGAUCAACAAAAGCAAGAUGGCUUUUGAUUUUAGUUCUAUCAGAUCAAUCAAAUGGUUAAUAUAUUCAUCAUGAAUCUGUCACUUUGUGACAAGAGGACCACCAGAUAGGAAUAAUGAAUGAUAAUUGGAGGUAAUUCCAGCUAGAAAUCAUAUUAAAAAGUUUAUAAGUCUUGAAUUUAAUGUACUUUAUUAGGUUUUCUAUUUUAAAUACCAUAGUCUAAAAAUUGUUUCAGCAUCCAAAAGACUGAUUGAACCUUCAAAAACACCCAAGUAGUAUACAAUUAUAGAAAUCUUUUUGCUUGCUGCUACAGUUAGUUCUUGUUAUAGCAAGUGUAGCUAGGUUGUCACUAGUAUUCAAUUAAAAGAAACCACUUUAUUUUUGGCAAAAGAGGACAUUGCACCAGCUUUAUAUCAAAUCCAACCAUAUAGUUAAAAGGACCAAAGUCUCAAGAGAAAGGUGUUCUCAUAUCCGGCGUUCGGUUAGACGGUAAGUAAAAUUUGGUUAAAGAUUGUUUCAGCAGUCCAUAAACACAUUUAAAUGUUUUUUUUCUUUCACCAAAACUAUUUUUUAUUAAUAUAUCAUGC